rnacentral:rRNA from 1 species
AUUGAACGCUGGCGGCGUGCCUAAUACAUGCAAGUCGAACGCAGUGGGGACGGGUGAGUAACACGUGGGUAACCUCCCAUCAGAGGGGAUAACACUUGGACACUGGUGCUAUACCGAUACUGAUGGAUGAACCCGCGGUGCAUUAGCUAGUUGGGGAGGUAACGGCUCACCAAGGCCACGAUGCAUAGCCGACCUGAGAGGGUGAUCGGCCACACUGUGAAUGAGACGCGGCCAAGACUCCUACGGGAGGAAGCAGUAGGGAAUCUUCGGCAAUGGACGAAAGUCUGACCGAGCAACGCCGCGUGAGUAAAGAAAGUUUUCGGAUCGUAAAACUCUGUUAUUAGAGAAGCGGUAUCUAACCAGAAAGCCACGGCUAACUACGUGCCAGCAGCCGCGGUAAUUC